rnacentral:rRNA from 1 species
GACGAACGCUGGCGGCGUGCUUAACACAUGCAAGUCGAACGGAAAGGCCCUGCUUUUGUGGGGUGCUCGAGUGGCGAACGGGUGAGUAACACGUGAGUAACCUGCCCUUGACUUUGGGAUAACUUCAGGAAACUGGGGCUAAUACCGGAUAGGAGCUCCUGCUGCAUGGUGGGGGUUGGAAAGUUUCGGCGGUUGGGGAUGGACUCGCGGCUUAUCAGCUUGUUGGUGGGGUAGUGGCUUACCAAGGCUUUGACGGGUAGCCGGCCUGAGAGGGUGACCGGCCACAUUGGGACUGAGAUACGGCCCAGACUCCUACGGGAGGCAGCAGUGGGGAAUAUUGCAAAAUGGGCGGAAGCCUGAUGCAGCAACGCCGCGUGCGGGAUGACGGCCUUCGGGUUGUAAACCGCUUUCGCCUAUGACGAAGCGUGAGUGACGGUAAUGGGUAAAGAAGCACCGGCUAACUACGUG